UUGGAAGAAUGGCACUGAAAGGACACAGAUCAACACCCAAUGAAGCUGUAAUAGGAGACCUUGGCCUCUCCACAUUUGAAGCAAGGGAAGCAAGUAGCAAAGCGACAUUCGAAAACAGGCUGAUGAACAUGGAAGAGCACAGAUGGCCAAGAAUAAUAUACAAAAUGACGUUGUUUGCGGGAAUUUCUACUCGGUGGAAUCUUAGAACGCGUAAAUUAGAAGCCAAGUACAAUAUACCUGUUAUGCUCCUAGAAAGGACAUCACCAGGACUGUCGGACAAAGAAAUUCGAGAACAAGUUGCGGCAACAGAAACAGAUACAUGGAGAACAAACAUGGAGAAAAAAAACGCAUUGGAAAUCUAUAGGACGGAGAAGACACGUAUAGCAAAUGUCAUUGGGCUCUACGAUAACUCCCAGGAAAGCGGUAGACUGUUUGAGGCAAGGUGUGGAGUGCUGCGCACAAGGGAGUGGAGGAGCAAGUUUGAGCCCAUCGAUGCUCACUGCCAGCUAUGCAAGGAAGGACUUGUGGAGAACAUACUGCAUGUUGUACUGGACUGCGUCGCCCUGGGAGGUAAACGGACAUGCCCUAUAGAAGAAGCACUCGGCUUCUAUGCGACCAGCGGAGAAAACGCAGAGGUGACAGCAACGAAACGCCGUUUGAGACGGUGGAUGACACUGAACAGAGAGGAACGACAGAAACAGGAUCGCAGCAAGGAGAAUACCCCAGUACAAACAGGACCCAGCUCAACGACAACAAACUACGAAAUACUACCGGGCAACAAAGGCAGCUGUAACCUACACAUACGCGAAGUACCAAGCAGAGUCAACGGAGAAGAGGCCAGCGCCACCACAUGAACCGGAAGCCAAAUAUGAACCACAGAAAGACAGGGACGCAAAUGAAAAGAAACAUUGACAAUUGAAAGGGCAUUGAAAUUGAAAUACAGGAAACUUAUUGGCAUGUCCGCACAGUUCGCUGUUUGCUGGACCCUCGUUACAAAGAGGCCCGCCAGGGGUGCCCCUACUAUCCAUCCAUCCAUCCAGCAGUGUUCAGCGGGCUGCUGGCUUCCUCGUGGUUUCUUGUGUUCAACUCAUGUCUAUGUUAUCUCUGUGUUUAAUCGGCAAGAUAUACUGCAUCUCGUGCGUGACGUUUGUUCGUUUGUUGUUGUGUUCGCUAUUCGUCUGACGACGCAAAAGCUGUUGUGCCAGUGCCGUGACUACAUGCCGUACAACUUGCCGGACCAGCCCGGACCAGGACCAUGCCGAAAUUGGUGUCUCAUGUCAAGCACACACAAGAAAAGGCGAUGCAGCAUUUGCAGCACAUCACUUCACGGUAUAUGUGAAAGCAUACUUCGGCAAAUAAGGAAUACAUCAGAAGGACACCACGGGACGCUUCAGAGUCUGGAUGUACCAUAUCUGAUGAAAAUCUUGCACCACAGAGGCUGCUCGAUGGAUGGAUGGAUUACAACCCUGAUGAAGCAGCGAAGUUAAAGGGAACAACAGGUGCACGACACUAUCAUUGCUGGACAAAAUUGAGGUUGAACAGAAAGAUGCCGCACAGGGAACGAGCAUGUCACUCAAACUGUUUGACCGGAAAACCUGGAGCAAGAGGAAACUUCCGCACAAGACUACAAAAAAAAGUAGACUUAGAAGUCCAUGUAUACGGGAGAACACCUUUGGUGGAAGAGGCUUGUCGGCCGACACUGUUAUUUGAUUCACCUUGGGGUUGACAGUUUUGUUCCUGAGAACUUCAUGUGCGUACAGCGGAGCACAAUCAACAACAAGUUAGUCAACAAUUUGAUGCAGCCUUUCUGGACACAAGAUGGAACGGCGACUAGUUGCUUUUCAGGGCAACCGUAGCAGGGAGCAGGCAUUCAUGCGCUCGUCACAGGCAACACCAGAGAAGCUGGACUCCAUUACAUAAAUGGCAUGCCACAUUGAGGGCCACCAGACUGACCUUCUAAAAGAAGCAAAGCUAGAACUAGUCAGGUGAAUCUUUGGAGAUUUGGUUUUGGAGAUGUUGCCCAGCAAGGCAAAAACAGAAAAGUGACACAAUAAAGAAAAUAAAUCUCGGAAUAGUGAA